rnacentral:rRNA from 1 species
CGAGGGGUGCAAGCGUUGCUCGGAAUUAUUGGGCGUAAAGGGUAGGUAGGUGGUCUCAUUUGUCGGGGGUGAAAGCCUUGUGCUUAACACAAGAAGUGCCCCCGAAACGGUGAGACUCGAGUCUUGGAGAGGGUUGCGGAAUUCCCGGUGUAGCGGUGAAAUGCGUAGAGAUCGGGAGGAACACCAGAGGCGAAGGCGGCAACCUGGACAAGUACUGACACUCAACUACGAAAGCGUGGGGAGCAAACAGGAUUAGAUACCCUGGUAGUCCAUGCUGUAAACGAUGGGUACUAGGUUUGGUGGGUCUUGACCCCCGCUGAACCGGCGCUAACGCACUAAGUACCCCGCCUGGGAAGUACGGUCGCAAGACUA